rnacentral:rRNA from 2 species
AAAUUGAAGAGUUUGAUCAUGGCUCAGAUUGAACGCUGGCGGCAGGCCUAACACAUGCAAGUCGAACGGUAACAGGAAGCAGCUUGCUGCUUCGCUGACGAGUGGCGGACGGGUGAGUAAUGUCUGGGAAACUGCCUGAUGGAGGGGGAUAACUACUGGAAACGGUGGCUAAUACCGCAUAACGUCGCAAGACCAAAGAGGGGGACCUUCGGGCCUCUUGCCAUCAGAUGUGCCCAGAUGGGAUUAGCUUGUUGGUGAGGUAACGGCUCACCAAGGCGACGAUCCCUAGCUGGUCUGAGAGGAUGACCAGCCACACUGGAACUGAGACACGGUCCAGACUCCUACGGGAGGCAGCAGUGGGGAAUAUUGCACAAUGGGCGCAAGCCUGAUGCAGCCAUGCCGCGUGUAUGAAGAAGGCCUUCGGGUUGUAAAGUACUUUCAGCGGGGAGGAAGGUGUUGCGGUUAAUAACCGCAGCAAUUGACGUUACCCGCAGAAGAAGCACCGGCUAACUCCGUGCCAGCAGCCGCGGUAAUACG